AUUGAACGCUGGCGGCAUGCCUUACACAUGCAAGUCGAACGGCAGCACGGGAGCAAUCCUGGUGGCGAGUGGCGAACGGGUGAGUAAUGUAUCGGAACGUGCCCAGUCGUGGGGGAUAACGUAGCGAAAGCUACGCUAAUACCGCAUACGAUCUGUGGAUGAAAGCGGGGGACCGUAAGGCCUCGCGCGAUUGGAGCGGCCGAUAUCAGAUUAGGUAGUUGGUGGGGUAAAGGCCUACCAAGCCGACGAUCUGUAGCUGGUCUGAGAGGACGACCAGCCACACUGGGACUGAGACACGGCCCAGACUCCUACGGGAGGCAGCAGUGGGGAAUUUUGGACAAUGGGCGCAAGCCUGAUCCAGCAAUGCCGCGUGCAGGAUGAAGGCCUUCGGGUUGUAAACUGCUUUUGUACGGAGCGAAAAGGCUCUCUCUAAUACAGGGGGCUCAUGACGGUACCGUAAGAAUAAGCACCGGCUAACUACGUGCCAGCCGCCGCUGUAAUAC
rnacentral:rRNA from 1 species